rnacentral:rRNA from 1 species
UACGAAGGGGACAAGCGUUGUUCGGAAUCAUUGGGCGUAAAGGGCGCGUAGGCGGACUUGUAAGUCGAUUGUGAAAUCCCUGGGCUUAACCCGGGAAUUGCAGUCGAAACUGCAAGUCUUGAGUUCUCAAGAGGAUGGUGGAAUUCCAGGAGUAGUAGUGAAAUACGUAGAUAUCUGGAGGAACACCGGCGGCGAAGGCGGCCAUCUGGUGAGACACUGACGCUGAGGCGCGAAAGCAUGGGGAGCAAACAGG